rnacentral:rRNA from 1 species
GACGAACGCUGGCGGCGUGCUUAACACAUGCAAGUCGAACGGAAAGGCCCUGCUUUUGUGGGGUGCUCGAGUGGCGAACGGGUGAGUAACACGUGAGUAACCUGCCCUUGACUUUGGGAUAACUUCAGGAAACUGGGGCUAAUACCGGAUAGGAGCUCCUGCUGCAUGGUGGGGGUUGGAAAGUUUCGGCGGUUGGGGAUGGACUCGCGGCUUAUCAGCUUGUUGGUGGGGUAGUGGCUUACCAAGGCUUUGACGGGUAGCCGGCCUGAGAGGGUGACCGGCCACAUUGGGACUGAGAUACGGCCCAGACUCCUACGGGAGGCAGCAGUGGGGAAUAUUGCACAAUGGGCGGAAGCCUGAUGCAGCAACGCCGCGUGCGGGAUGACGGCCUUCGGGUUGUAAACCGCUUUCGCCUGUGACGAAGCGUGAGUGACGGUAAUGGGUAAAGAAGCACCGGCUAACUACGUGCCAGCAGCCGCGGUGAUACGUAGGGUGCGAGCGUUGUCCGGAUUUAUUGGGCGUAAAGGGCUCGUAGGUGAUUGAUCGCGUCGGAAGUGUAAUCUUGGGGCUUAACCCUGAGCGUGCUUUCGAUACGGGUUGACUUGAGGAAGGUAGGGGAGAAUGGAAUUCCUGGUGGAGCGGUGGAAUGCGCAGAUAUCAGGAGGAACACCAGUGGCGAAGGCGGUUCUCUGGGCCUUUCCUGACGCUGAGGAGCGAAAGCGUGGGGAGCGAACAGGCUUAGAUACCCUGGUAGUCCACGCUGUAAACGGUGGGUACUAGGUGUGGGGUCCAUUCCACGGGUUCCGUGCCGUAGCUAACGCUUUAAGUACCCCGCCUGGGGAGUACGGCCGCAAGGCUAAAACUCAAAGGAAUUGACGGGGCCCCGCACAAGCGGCGGAGCAUGCGGAUUAAUUCGAUGCAACGCGUAGAACCUUACCUGGGUUUGACAUGGAUCGGGAGUGCUCAGAGAUGGGUGUGCCUCUUUUGGGGUCGGUUCACAGGUGGUGCAUGGCUGUCGUCAGCUCGUGUCGUGAGAUGUUGGGUUAAGUCCCGCAACGAGCGCAACCCUUGUUCACUGUUGCCAGCACGUUAUGGUGGGGACUCAGUGGAGACCGCCGGGGUCAACUCGGAGGAAGGUGGGGAUGACGUCAAGUCAUCAUGCCCCUUAUGUCCAGGGCUUCACGCAUGCUACAAUGGCUGGUACAGAGAGUGGCGAGCCUGUGAGGGUGAGCGAAUCUCGGAAAGCCGGUCUCAGUUCGGAUUGGGGUCUGCAACUCGACCUCAUGAAGUCGGAGUCGCUAGUAAUCGCAGAUCAGCAACGCUGCGGUGAAUACGUUCCCGGG